AUUGAACGCUGGCGGCAGGCCUAACACAUGCAAGUCGAGCGGAUGAAGGGAGCUUGCUCCUGGAUUCAGCGGCGGACGGGUGAGUAAUGCCUAGGAAUCUGCCUGGUAGUGGGGGAUAACGUCCGGAAACGGGCGCUAAUACCGCAUACGUCCUGAGGGAGAAAGUGGGGGAUCUUCGGACCUCACGCUAUCAGAUGAGCCUAGGUCGGAUUGGCUAGUUGGUGGGGUAAAGGCCUACCAAGGCGACGAUCUGUAACUGGUCUGAGAGGAUGAUCAGUCACACUGGAACUGAGACACGGUCCAGACUCCUACGGGAGGCAGCAGUGGGGAAUAUUGGACAAUGGGCGAAAGCCUGAUCCAGCCAUGCCGCGUGUGUGAAGAAGGUCUUCGGAUUGUAAAGCACUUUAAGUUGGGAGGAAGGGCAGUAAGUUAAUACCUUGCUGUUUUGACGUUACCAACAGAAUAAGCACCGGCUAACUUCGUG
rnacentral:rRNA from 1 species